rnacentral:lncRNA from 1 species
AAACGUGGUCGUUUUUGUUUUUUUUAGUAAUUCUCUGGUUCUUCUAUUCGAGAGGAUCCCAAGAAGUAAAAAAAAGUUUGACAACGAGCUGGGAAAAGUUCACUGCAAUAAAAAAACAAAAAAAAGACUGGCUGAAAAGCAGCUCCCAAACUAGGGUUUGGCUAUGUUUCCUUCUGAUCAAAAGGUGUUUCAUGGAGGCAAAGCUGGACGAUGGCCCAUCCGUGAUUGGGGGAACUCUCCUCUGGCAAAUCAUUCUUGGCUCUGGUUACUUUGUGUUUAGAUAGGGUGAGGCGAAGGAGUUUGAUACAUAGGCUGUGGGCGAACUUGUCCCGUCUUCACUCUGCCAUUAAGUUCUUUUCCCUGCACUUCACCCCAGUUUGUACAUUAAAGUCUGUACCAAUAGUUGUGAAUUUGGAAUCUUAAACAAUCAAACAUCUGACAAGUUUCAAUUGUGUGGAGAGCUCUUUGUUUGUUUGAGACGAGAAAUUUACAUUGUAAAAUAAAUGUCUUUCGUGUUUCCACUGCUUAAGAGCUGGUUAUCUGUGUGGUCCUUUAGGCCUUUACUAUAUAUCUCCAAGUCGGCGAUGUUAAGAUGUUCCAUGGCCAUUGGACGGCAUCUGGUUAUAUAUCUCCAAGUCGGUGGAGCAUUAAGACAGUCGCGAAGGCACAGCCUCUCUCUCUCUCUCUCUCUCUCUCUGUCUUCCAGCUGAACUUCGUACAAGUCCUGAUUUCUAGCCUUUUCGUUGGUCCAUGUGAAGCUGUAUCUGUUUUCCUUUUGAAUUGUUCAGUUUGUCACGAUGCAUUUGAACGCUUGUCCGGUGAAGUUUUGCUAAAUCUUCUUCCAUGUCAUGGCAA